rnacentral:rRNA from 1 species
CGUAACAAGGUUUCCGUAGGUGAACUGCGGAAGGAUCAUUAAAGAGUAACUUGGGAAGAUGUGCUGGCACUGCAGGUGCACUCUUCUCAACUAUUCAUCCAAACCCCUGUGCACCUUUUUAAUGAUACGAAUAGUCGAAAGACUUUCGUGUCUAUUAUACCAUAACCCUAUGAUUAUACUAUUAUUGACGAAUGUAACAAGUUGUAAAUUCAAUACAACCAUCAGCAACGGAUCUCUUGGCAUCCCACUCGAUGAAGAACGUAGCGAAUUGCGAUAAGUAAUGUGACUUGCAGAACACAGUGAAUCAUCGAAUCUUUGAACGCACCUUGCACCCUCUAGUAUUCUGGAGGGUAUGCCCGGUUGAGUGUCAUGAAAUCUUCAAAUCAUUGAUUUUGUUAUGAAGUCAGUGAUCUUGGACUUGGGUGUUGUUGGAUGCUAGCAUUCAACUCGUCCGAAAUAUAUUAGCUGGACUUUACUUCUUAUAAUUCUACCUUUGAUGUGAUAAGUAUUGAUCGUCACUGGUAGUUAAGUUGUAGUCUGCUUCUAAUCGUCUGCGGACAAUAUACUUGACAAUUACACCUCAACUCGGGUAGGACUACGCCCUGAACUUAAGCAUAUCA